AUGUGACGUCACAUCCGCUCCAGAUUGUAGACAAACGCCAUCUUGGCGGUCAAGCGCCAUAUUUCCGCCGCCUUUCCGACGCUGACUUUCUUUUUUUUUUUUUGCCGAAAUAUUCAAAAAUUACCGUGCCACAAUGCCGGAUACUUGCAUGGCAUAUAAAUGCCACAACAGGAGAGGUCAGAAAACAGGAAGAAAGUUUCAUAGGCUGCCACGGGACCUUGACAGGCGCGCAAAAUGGAUUGCUGCUAUCGGAAGUUUGUGUGGAUUUAUAUGUAAAUCCACACAAACAUAUGUUUUUGUUAGAAUUGUGGAUGUAUCGUAAAGGUAUUCUAUGAUGGCUCUCUUUUUUUUGUUUUAAUGUCGUGGUCGUGAAAACGCCGUUCGGUAAGCCAUAAGGGUCACAAAUCUGUAGACCGUUUAUUUUAGACAUGUAUCUAAUUAUCUGAUCCAAACAACAAGAACAAGGCAUGGGUACCGACUGGAAUGAGCGAUCACUGGCGCCUGUGCAGUGACCAUUUCAUCUCAGGUUUACCCGAACUCCUUCAAAAGAUGGAAGAUUUGAAGAGAUCAGUAGUAACCCAUUCCCCUGCUAUCAGUAAGGAAAGACAGGAACCCCUUACAGAGUUCAUAUCAACACCGCCAGUACAUGUUCGAGCACAGAACACUCUUUGCUCAUCACAGUCUUUGGCAGUGACGCCCACUUCAUCUCGGCCUGCGACCGAGUUUGAGAAGUGCUUUCGCAAUUAUUUUCAGUACCAUCUCACUUCAAGUUAGAUUGAUUGCUGAAGAAUUGAUAAUUAUUAAUAUGUGCAGCACCUAGCUGCUUGGCCUCCAGUGUGGCAAGAGUGCUAACAACCGACAAUUCGAUUCUAAGGUCGGAAAUUUCCACUCUGUGCCCCUCUUUCUCAUCUCAUCUCAUUAUCUCUAGCCGCUUUAUCCUUCUACAGGGUCGCAGGCAAGCUGGAGCCUAUCCCAGCUGACUACGGGCGAAAGGCAGGGUACACCCUGGACAAGUCGCCAGGUCAUCACAGGGCUGACACAUAGACACAGACAACCAUUCACACCUACGGUCAAUUUAGAGUCACCAGUUAACCUAACCUGCAUGUCUUUGGACUGUGGGGGAAACCGGAGCACCCGGAGGAAACCCACGCGGACACGAGGAGAACAUGCAAACUCCGCACAGAAAGGCUCUCGCCGGCCACGGGGCUUGAACCCAGGACCUUCUUGCUGUGAGGCGACAGCGCUAACCACUACAGCACCGUGCCGCCGCCCCUCUUUCUAGAUCUCCCAAUUAUGAUUGCAUUACCAUUAUGUUGACCUUGGAUUUGGGGUGUCUGUAAAUGCUUCAGAUUUACAGUAUGUGAGCAGAGUAGAUUUAAGGAAAACUACAUAUACCAUAUGUGAAACAGUGUUUUCCUGAACUGAGCUGGCUGAUUGUAGUGUAACGGGGAAGAAGUCCAAUGCCUUCAAGGAUCAAACUGAAAGACCCAUGUUGGAUGAAAACAAAGUUUCUGUUGUCAUAUACUUUGUGAAGAGACUUCAUCCAGGGAGUGAAGAAAAGAUGAUUAAGAAAACCAUUGGUGCAAAACUCAACAUUUGUCAAAAACUGGAGCGAAGAAAAAUACAGAACACGACUUACUUCAGAACAAUUUUGCUAUGUUUUAAUCCAACCAUUCCUUUAAUUUUUGAUCCUUUUUGUAUAGCUGUUUUAAAACUUUUAUGAAACAUUUUCUAUUUUCCUGUUGACUAUAAAUAAAUAUUCAGAUUGCUUUUAUCA